CCUACGGGCGGCUGCAGUGAGGAAUAUUGGGCAAUGGGCGCAAGCCUGACCCAGCAACGCCGCGUGAAGGAAGAAGGCCCUCGGAUUGUAAACCUCUUUUAUCAAGGACGAAACAAAUGACGGUACUUGAUGAAUAAGCCACGGCUAACGACGUGCCAGCAGCCGCGGUAAUACGUAGGUGGCAAGCGUUAUCCGGAUUUACUGGGUGUAAAGGGGGUGUAGGCGGGACUGCAAGUCAGAUGUGAAACCCAUGGGCUCAACCCAGGGACUGCAAUUGAAACUGUAGUUCUUGAGUGUUGGAGAGGCAAGCGGAAUUCCGUGUGUAGCGGUGAAAUGCGUAGAUAUAGGGAGGAACACCAGUGGCGAAGGCGGCCUGCUGGACAAUAACUGACGCUGAGGCGCGAAAGCGUGGGGAGCAAACAGGAUUAGAUACCCGGGUAGUC
rnacentral:rRNA from 1 species